rnacentral:rRNA from 1 species
UGGCUCAGCAACGAACGCUGGUGGCAGGCUUAACACAUGCAAGUNGAGCGGGCAUAGCAAUAUAGUACGGCGGCNGACGGGUGAGNAACGGCGUGGGAACGUACCUUUUGGUUCGGAACAACUGANGGAAACUUCAGCUAAUACCGGAUAAGCCCUUACGGGGAAAGAUUUAUCGCCGAAAGAUCGGCCCGCGUCUGAUUAGCUAGUUGGUGAGGUAAUGGCUCACCAAGGCGACGAUCAGUAGCUGGUCUGAGAGGAUGAUCAGCCACAUUGGGACUGAGACACGGUCCAAACUCCUACGGGAGGCAGCAGUGGGA